UCCUGUCUGAAUAUGGGGGGACCAUCCUCCAAGGCUAAAUACUCCUGACUGACCGAUAGUGAACCAGUACCGUGAGGGAAAGGCGAAAAGAACCCCGGCGAGGGGAGUGAAAAAGAACCUGAAACCGUGUACGUACAAGCAGUGGGAGCACCUUUAUGGUGUGACUGCGUACCUUUUGUAUAAUGGGUCAGCGACUUAUAUUCUGUAGCAAGGUUAACCGUAUAGGGGAGCCGCAGGGAAACCGAGUCUUAACUGGGCGUUAAGUUGCAGGGUAUAGACCCGAAACCCGGUGAUCUAGCCAUGGGCAGGUU
rnacentral:rRNA from 1 species